rnacentral:rRNA from 1 species
GACGAACGCUGGCGGCAUGCUUAACACAUGCAAGUCGAACGGAAAGGCCCUGCUUUUGUGGGGUGCUCGAGUGGCGAACGGGUGAGUAACACGUGAGUAACCUGCCCUUGACUUUGGGAUAACUUCAGGAAACUGGGGCUAAUACCGGAUAGGAGCUCCUGCUGCAUGGUGGGGGUUGGAAAGUUUCGGUGGUUGGGGAUGGACUCGCGGCUUAUCAGCUUGUUGGUGGGGUAGUGGCUUACCAAGGCUUUGACGGGUAGCCGGCCUGAGAGGGUGACCGGCCACAUUGGGACUGAGAUACGGCCCAGACUCCUACGGGAGGCAGCAGUGGGGAAUAUUGCACAAUGGGCGGAAGCCUGAUGCAGCAACGCCGCGUGCGGGAUGACGGCCUUCGGGUUGUAAACCGCUUUCGCCUGUGACGAAGCGUGAGUGACGGUAAUGGGUAAAGAAGCACCGGCUAACUACGUG